UGGGGAAUAUUGGACAAUGGGCGGAAGCCUGAUCCAGCAAUGCCGCGUGGAUGAUGAAGGCCUUCGGGUUGUAAAGUCCUUUCGGCGGGGAAGAAGAUGACGGUACCCGCAGAAGAAGGACCGGCCAACUACGUGCCAGGAGCCGCGGGAAAACGCAGGGGGCACACGCGGUCCGGGUUUUUUGGGGGGAAAGAGCUCGGGGGUGGGUCGGUACGUCGGAGGUGAAAAUCAGGGGGUCAACCCCAGACG
rnacentral:rRNA from 1 species